rnacentral:rRNA from 1 species
AUUGAACGCUGGCGGCAGGCUUAACACAUGCAAGUCGAGCGGAGAUGAGGUGCUUGCACCUUAUCUUAGCGGCGGACGGGUGAGUAAUGCUUAGGAAUCUGCCUAUUAGUGGGGGACAACAGUCCGAAAGGAAUGCUAAUGCCGCAUACGUACUACGGGAGAAAGCAGGGGAUCUUCGGACCUUGCGCUAAUAGAUGAGCCUAAGUCGGAUUAGCUAGUUGGUGGGGUAAAGGCCUACCAAGGCGACGAUCUGUAGCGGGUCUGAGAGGAUGAUCCGCCACACUGGGACUGAGACACGGCCCAGACUCCUACGGGAGGCAGCAGUGGGGAAUAUUGGACAAUGGGGGGAACCCUGAUCCAGCCAUGCCGCGUGUGUGAAGAAGGCCUUGUGGUUGUAAAGCACUUUAAGCGAGGAGGAGGCUACUAAGACUAAUACUCUUGGAUAGUGGACGUUACUCGCAGAAUAAGCACCGGCUAACUCUGUGCCAGCAGCCGCGGUAAAAC